rnacentral:pre_miRNA from 1 species
UGGUGGUGGUGGUGGUGGUGGUGGUGGUGGUAGUGGUAGUGGUAACAAUAAUGGGCAUCCCCACAAUCACCAUCAUCAUCAUCAUCAGCA